rnacentral:rRNA from 1 species
UACGGAGGAUGCAAGCGUUAUCCGGAAUGAUUGGGCGUAAAGCGUCCGCAGGUGGCUGUGUAAGUCUGCUGUCAAAGAGCAAAGCUCAACUUUGUAAAGGCAGUGGAAACUACACGGCUAGAGUGCGUUCGGGGCAGAGGGAAUUCCUGGUGUAGCGGUGAAAUGCGUAGAUAUCUGGAGGAACACCGGUGGCGAAGGCGGCAUCCUGGACCGAUACUGACGCUGAGGAGCGAAAGCCAGGGGAGCAAACGGG